CCUGUGUCUGUUCUGGCCCUCACUUUGCCCUUGAUGCCUUUUUAUUUCUAGAUUCUCCAGCUCUGAGGCUCUGACCCUUCUUUCUUCCUAUAUAUCUCUCUUCAACCAGAUCCCAACUAACGCCUUCGGGGAAAUUUCAGUGAACCCCUCAUGACGCUUGGCUCAGGAGGAUCCAGUGUAGUGGUGCCUCGGAACUUCAGAUUGCUGGA
rnacentral:misc_RNA from 1 species